GUUGAUGUCACCCCUUAUCUCGCUGCAGAGAUGGAAUCGCCCAACUUCAUCGCUUGAGCAGCGUUUGUUUGGAAAGUCCUCGAGUGCCAGGUGUGUUUGAAACGCCAGGCACUGGAACCUAAUGAGAAAACAAGAGCUGGAGCCCAGCCAAAAAAGGAGAGCUUGUUGGUGAUUCAUUGGACCAGCCCACACAAGGUUCCCCCACCCCAAUGGGAGAUAAUAAGGCCAUUUAUAUGAGUGUCAUUGGACAGGAAGCAUGACCAUAUCUGGACUCUGAAGGGCAGACAAUCAAGUCUUCAAAAGAAAUGUUGGAAGGAGAAUGAAAGUGGUCCACCAGGAGACUCGUGGAGGGGAGGGGUGCGGUGCGUGAAAGUACACAGCUUGCAAACAGAUCCCAGUAAACUGCAUUAAUCGGCCGUGCGUCUGGCCCGAACCUGCGAGCUGGAGCUGCUCAUUUGCCCUAUUAGUGAAGCGACUUGAGCCCAUAACCAGGUGCAUAAUCUCCCGGCUUUACUGCUUUAAUUAUGCCAUAAUCAGUGCAGCGGUUGGCCCCGUUUAAAAGCAGCCAGGAGCGAUACCUCACUGAUACGUCGUCUCUCGCCGUUAGCCCAUAUUCUCUAUGUCACAGCCAAGCUCCUCUUUGAUGAAGCAUGAUGAAGGGCACACUAACUUUGUAGGACAAGACAAAGCUCAAACAUAUGGCCAGAAUCCCCCAGGUGCCAUCUUCAAGAGGGCUGGUCUGUGAUCCUUCCACAGCUCAAUGCAGUUCCAUGACUCAAACUCUUUCCUCUUGAACAUAUACCAUUGGAUCUCUUAUUCAUGAACAAAUGUUUUUUUUUUCUCUGGUUCAUAUAAUUGCAUUUUUUGGUCUUGCAUCAAGUUCCAGAACCUUUAUAUGGUAAAACACAUAUGGCAGGCUAAAAAGCUGUGCAUUCUAUGAGGAUUUUAAUUGGCUUAAUGAAAAUGUAGAGUCUUAUCAGUGAGCCCUGUGCUUAACAUGGCAACAUUUCAUUUCAAUAUUUACAUGUUUGUUUCCUCAGUUUAUCUUGUUAAAUAGGCCAAGAAAUAAAUAUCUGCUAUUUAACUUCAUUAUUAUAAAUCAAACGAGCACUUUCCAGUGCGUUAAUGAAGACAAAGUGAAAUAUGGAUGUUUUUUCUCAUUGCAUUCAAGACCAAGUUGCCCAUUUAAAGCUAAUUAACCACUAAAUUUCAAUUUGUGUUAUGCUAUUCACUCUUUUUGAAUUUCUCUGCAGUCAUAUAAAUAGUUUCUGCAACAAAUCCAAUCAAGAGACAUUGGUUUCAAAAAUAUUCACAAAUGUUACACUACUCAUAAACAGAAAGCACAUUCAAAACUACUGAGACAAGCCAAUAGUCUUAACACCAAAAUUUGGCUGACAGUUUUCACAUCAAAGUGCAUUUCUAGUCUUUGAGAAUUGCAUUUACAGGUACCUUGACAAUUCAGUUCCUUUUAUCACCUUUGCCAUUAUAAAAGCUUAAAAGGAUAUCAUUUUGAUAUUAAGAGCAACGUCAACCCUGACAUGCACUUUCAAUGUCAUCCAAGUAAGUUCAAUAAUAUUUUAGUUAAACUGACAGUUACAAUUUGAGCAGUCAGUAGGUAAUAUGGUAAACGGCUUUCACUGGAAUCUCUUUAAACAGUCAGAAUCUAUUAAGACAGAUUUGUGACAGCCACAGAUAUCUGCAACCCGGUUCAAUUUCACCACUUGACAUUUUCACAAUAGGUGCUGGAAAUAGCACAGAGCCAUCCAAGAUUAAGACAAGCAUACUAAUGCAUGCUUAUUCAAGUGUUUGAUGUAGCUGCGCAGUUGUCAGUGUUGGGGAGUAACUGGUUACAUGUAACAGAGUUAUGUAAUUUAAUUACAAAAUAAAUGUAACCGUAAUCUGUUACAGUUACUGAAAAAAGUGUAAUUACGUAAAUUACAGUAACUAAAACAUGAGACACCGAUGUUUAAGGAGUUUAGGACACAGAAUAGGACACAUGCUUAUUCGAUAACUUUAUUCAAUAGUUUUAUUCUUUAAGAUUAACUGUUUUUUUCCAAG